rnacentral:rRNA from 1 species
AUUGAACGCUGGCGGCAGGCUUAACACAUGCAAGUCGAGCGGAGACUUCGGUCUUAGCGGCGAACGGGUGAGUAAUACCUAGGAAUCUGCCCAUUAGCGGGUGACAAUGUUUCGAAAGGAACGCUAAUACCGCAUACGCCUACCGGGGAAAGGACAGGGGAGUCUUUUGUACCUUGCACUAAUGGAUGAGCCUAGGCCGGAUUAGCUAGUUGGUAGGGUAAAGGCCUACCAAGGCGACGAUCUGUAGCUGGUCUGAGAGGAUGACCAGCCACACUGGAACUGAGACACGGUCCAGACUCCUACGGGAGGCAGCAGUGGGGAAGUAUUGGACAAUGGGCGGCAAGCCUGAUCCAGCCAUGCCGCGUGUGUGAAGAAGGCC